GGGGAUUUAGCUCAGUGGUAGAGCGCGUGCCUAGCAUGUGCAAGGCCCUGGGUUCGGUCCCCAGCCCCC
rnacentral:tRNA from 1 species